rnacentral:rRNA from 1 species
CCUACGGGUGGCUGCAGUGGGGAAUAUUGCACAAUGGGCGCAAGCCUGAUGCAGCCAUGCCGCGUGUGUGAAGAAGGCCUUCGGGUUGUAAAGCACUUUCAGCGGGGAGGAAGGCGGUGAGGUUAAUAACCUCAUCGAUUGACGUUACCCGCAGAAGAAGCACCGGCUAACUCCGUGCCAGCAGCCGCGGUAAUACGGAGGGUGCAAGCGUUAAUCGGAAUUACUGGGCGUAAAGCGCACGCAGGCGGUCUGUCAAGUCGGAUGUGAAAUCCCCGGGCUCAACCUGGGAACUGCAUUCGAAACUGGCAGGCUAGAGUCUUGUAGAGGGGGGUAGAAUUCCAGGUGUAGCGGUGAAAUGCGUAGAGAUCUGGAGGAAUACCGGUGGCGAAGGCGGCCCCCUGGACAAAGACUGACGCUCAGGUGCGAAAGCGUGGGGAGCAAACAGGAUUAGUACCCCUGUAGUC